rnacentral:misc_RNA from 1 species
UCCGUGUUGACCACGGCAGUCUCCUAUGAGUCCCCGACAUUACUCGCUGGCAACAUAGGAUGAGGGUUGCGCUCGUUGCGGGACUUAACCCAACAUCUCACGACACGAGCUGACGACAACCAUGCACCACCUGUAUAGCGCCCUUGCGGACCUAUCAUUUCUGAUAGUUUUCACUAUAUGUCAAGUCUUGGUAAGGUUCUUCGCGUUGCAUCGAAUUAAGCCGCAUGCUCCGCCGCUUGUGCGGACCCCCGUCAAUUCCUUUGAGUUUUAGCCUUGCGGCCGUACUCCCCAGGCGGGGCGCUUAAUGCGUUAGCUGCGGCACAGAGACCGUGGAAUGGUCCCCACACCUAGCGCCCACCGUUUACGGCGUGGACUAC